rnacentral:lncRNA from 1 species
AGGACCCUCUGUCAGAGUACCCCUAUCGAGCUGUACCGUGCCAUCUUUUAGUUGAGAAAGGAUGAGAUGGGACUGUUGGCUGAGAGAGUGGCAGGCAUUCUAUCUGUUUAGUAGCAGUGGUUUCAGGAUCAGCUUCUUCAGCAGUCUCACCAGUUUCAGCAGCAGAUCCUCCAGUUGGUGCAGCAGCAGCAGCAGUAGUAUUGCUAGGCUCAUCGAGUACUUUCUUUGAUCCUUCCUCGGACUUUUCUGUCGUGCCACAC